ensembl:lncRNA
CGUCGCUCAGACCAUCACACCUCUCUGUGCUCUCUCUGCUCUCUGCUUUCUUCAUCUCCAGGUCUCCCAUCUGUCCCUGUCUCUACCAUCCUCAUCCUCACUCUGUCUCUCCAUGGGAGUCAUGUCCUCCCCCAGGUUCCUGUCACUUCAUCUGCUUGGAGCCUUGCUGCUGCCGCUGCUGCUGCUGCCUGGUUCUUGGGCCCAGCAUUAUGAUGAUUUCACAUCAUCUCCAGAUUACGACUCUGACUACAACUCCACCUUUGAGUACAGCUUCUUCAGUAAUACGAGCAGCGAGGACCUGGACAGACUUGUGGAACGCUACCUCGAUCCAGACGAAACUACGGAGGACACUGGAGGACCAGAGGAGGAAGUGGCUGUAACCAUGGUGAUUACAAGAAGAACAACAGAGGGGGUCAACGCUCACGGCACUGCACCAUUUCAGCUGGUGACAGGUGUCGAGACAAGCCCCUCAGCUCCGUCCUCAGUGAACAUGGCUCCUCAUGGGAGCAGGUGGACCAAUCACAGAGCUUCUUUCCUGAACCAUUUCAGAAAGUUUGCAGACAAACGCCUGGAAGAUUUCACUACGUGGUGACAUUUUUAUUAUACGUAAAGAAGUUUUUUGAUGGAACUGCUGAAUAAGCCAUACUUUAGAAAAGAUGUUUAUAUUUGUAAUAAAAAGAUGUUUUUAAAGACAAUAUGAAGUUAUUUUGUGUCCUUAUUGUGCAAACAAACAACAUAAGUGUUUGUAGUUGAGUGCAAACAAGCACUGUGUUACAGAAUAAACAUGUUGAUGGACGGGGUCAGCGGGGGCCUGGAGCUUUCAUUUUUUCUCCAAAUCACAAGUGUUGUUGGCUGAACUGUGAAACGUCAGCUGAAAGAUUUCUAUUACAGCAGAACCGUCACUGUGCAAACGUUUGCAUCUGUUCAUAUUCAGGAUCCAGGAGCGGAUUUGGAUCCACAGUUUAAUCACAGAUUUAUUUGACUUGCGAUACAUUUUUGAUUGUGCUGUUUAUAGUUUUCCUCUAAAUCCUGUUUGUUUGCAUAAAAAAGACACAAAAGUGACAGAAUAAAAACACGAUUGUAUGAAUGAGCAUAUUUGCAGAUACAUUUAUAUAUAAACAAAUAAAGAUGAAGUAUUUAAAGUGGACCCCAGC